rnacentral:rRNA from 1 species
ACUCCUACGGGAGGCAGCAGUAGGGAAUCUUCCACAAUGGGCGCAAGCCUGAUGGAGCAACACCGCGUGAGUGAAGAAGGGUUUCGGCUCGUAAAGCUCUGUUGUUAAAGAAGAACACGUAUGAGAGUAACUGUUCAUACGUUGACGGUAUUUAACCAGAAAGUCACGGCUAACUACGUGCCAGCAGCCGCGGUAAUACGUAGGUGGCAAGCGUUAUCCGGAUUUAUUGGGCGUAAAGAGAGUGCAGGCGGUUUUCUAAGUCUGAUGUGAAAGCCUUCGGCUUAACCGGAGAAGUGCAUCGGAAACUGGAUAACUUGAGUGCAGAAGAGGGUAGUGGAACUCCAUGUGUAGCGGUGGAAUGCGUAGAUAUAUGGAAGAACACCAGUGGCGAGGGCGGCUACCUGGUCUGCAACUGACGCUGAGACUCGAAAGCAUGGGUAGCGAACAGGAUUAGAUACCCUGGUAGGAUAGCC